rnacentral:rRNA from 1 species
CUCAAGUCCAUCGACGUUUACGCGUUCGGCGUUUAUGCGGAUGACAGCGAUCUGAAGCAGCUGAGGGACAAAUACCAGAAGCUUCCCAUCUCUGAUCUGAAGGAAAGCGACGAGCUGAUCAACAAUGCACUAGAGCGCGACAUACGUAUGACGGUCAGGCUUCAGAUAGUUUAUGGGAGGCUGAGCAUUGGCUCAGUUCGGAGCGCUUUUGAGAAGAGUGUAGGAAGCAGGCUUCAGAAGUUUGGGGGGUCAGACACCAAAGAGUUGCUUCAGAGUUUUGUUUCACUUUUCAAGGACGAGUACAAAUUACCAAAGGGAUCUGUAAUUGAGCUUUCGAGGGAAUCAAACCAUGUUCUUAAAAUAAGCAUUGAAGGAGAAGACGUGGGAAGUAUCCAGAACAAGCUCUUGUGCCAGUCUAUCUUAGAUCUUUACAUUGGAGACGACCCGUUUGAUAAGAAUGCGAAAAACAACAUCCAAGGAAGUUUGGCUAGCAUUCUUAAAGCUUAG